UUGGUCCUACGGGGGGCAGCAGUGAGGAAUAUUGGUCAAUGGGCGCAAGCCUGAACCAGCCAAGUCGCGUGAGGGAAGACGGCCCUACGGGUUGUAAACCUCUUUUGCCGGGGAGCAAGCCUGAGCACGUGUGCCCAGGCGGAGAGUACCCGGAGAAAAAGCAUCGGCUAACUCCGUGCCAGCAGCCGCGGUAAUACGGAGGAUGCGAGCGUUAUCCGGAUUUAUUGGGUUUAAAGGGUGCGCAGGCGGCACGGCAAGCCGGCGGUCAAAUCGCGGGGCUCAACCCCGCCCAGCCGUCGGAACUG
rnacentral:rRNA from 1 species